UCCAAACAAGCUCUUAGACUGCAUGGAAUCUAACUCCUUUUAAACCUGAAAUUACAGAACUGCUUCUUUUCAUCAAACCAACCUUCUGUAAACUUUCAACUCCAUUUUCCCUAUUCAAUUUCCCUUCUUCCCACACCGUUUCUUUUCAUCAAACAAAUAUUCUGUAAACUUUCAACACCGUUUUUCUAUUUCAAUUUCCUCAUACCUCUAACUUUAUGAAUUAAUUCCUAUAGCCUCAUCUACAUCUACCUUUUUUUUGUCUAUUUCUUAUUUUGGGGAAGCAAAAAAAUAAAAACGUUCUCUCUAUGAUUACACAAAUUCUGUUUCCUUUGAUGCCAAUGAAGACGUCCGAAGAACACCCUUCCUUGCCCACUGUUUUAGGAAAUAUUGGUAUUCCCUCCAUAAUUGUCGGUGUGGGCUAACAAGGAUGUCAAAAUACAGUCAAAAGAUUGAGGUACAGUCCAAACCUUCUUCAUUAUUAUGUUUUUUCUCCAAAUCAGAACUUAUAAUGUCAAUAUUCUUCGAUAGUAUAUUUUUUCUAAAGCACUUUCAAAAAUCCAAAGAUUCUUCACUACUAUGAUUUUUUCAGAGUUAAUACUAAAUGUGUCGCUGAUAUGGAGUACAAAUUUUUUUUAUUGCUGAUAAUUUUUUCCGAGCAAAGUUCAAGAACAUUGUCUUUAAAUAUUCAAGAAUACUAUAGUUUUUUCCCUAAUCAAUAACUAAGGAGCAAAAGAUCCUAAUUAACUUGCAAAAAUACAAAAAAUCAAGAUGAAGAAUUAAGAUAUAUGGGAUUAAGAAUUAAAAUCAUUCUCUCGGUAACUAGAUCCCUAUGGGACUAUUUUAAGGAGGCUGCUCCUUAAUCAAUUAAUUUAUCAGACCGUGAAUUAAUUGUAGUUGCCUUUUUUCAUUUUAAUUGCUGGGAGGAGAUCUGUGCAUUCGGCACUAUAUAUAUAUGUGUGUGCGCGCGUGUAUGUAAAGUAAAAUCGGUUCAUAUUAAAGGGAGACAGACGGAAAGCGAUACAUGCAGAAACCAAGACCGGGGGCAGCAACUUCGGUUGAUACCGGAAAGCCCCCGAAAAGAAUAUUGCUAAUGAAGACAAACGAAUGCCUGCCACCCGGUAGCAUUAAAUGAAGAAUAUUCUGCAGUAUUAAAUACAUAGUCUGUUAUAGAGAAUUUUGGCAUUCAUAGCUUGCCAUUACACAUUCUUUAAUGACCUCCAUAAUUGUCAUUUAAAAGGGGCUUGAUCAUAGGACCUUGUUCCCUAGGUGCAACUAUAAAUGGUGAUUUCAACAGCCAUUGUAAAGACACAAAUUUUAUGACAAACUUAUGCUACACAUUAUUCUAAGCUCAAUAACACUUUAUUUCUCGUCUAUUGAUAUUCUUA